GGUUUGUGGAUCAUGAUGGCUGCCGCCUUGAGAGGAAGCCUUGUAACAUUGGCCAAGGGCCUUACUGGCACUGGUCCGCGGUGGCAGCAGCUGGCUGCCCGAUCCCUCAAUAUGACCUCCAGUCUGAGUGGGCCUGAGGCACCCCCCGGCCCGCGCCGACGCCACAUUCAAAGUCACCAUGGUGCCCGGGGACGGAGUAGGACCUGAACUGAUGACUGCCGUCAAGGAGGUGUUCAAGGCGGGCGACGUCCCAGUGGAGUUUGAGGAGUUCCACCUAAGUGAGGUGCAGCACAUGGACAGCGACGAGAAGCUGGAGCAGGUGUUGGUCUCCAUGAAGACCAACAGGGUGGCCAUGAAAGGAAAGAUUAACACCCCCAUGGAGUUCAAAGGGGAGCUGGCUGGCUUUGAGAUGAAAAUUAGGCGUAGGCUGGACUUGUUUGCAAAUGUGGUACACGUGAACAGCCUGCCCGGCUAUAGCACCCGCCACAACAACCUGGACCUGGUCAUCAUCCGAGAGCAGACUGAGGGAGAGUACAGCUCUCUGGAGCACGAGAGCGUGCCUGGAGUGAUCGAAUGUCUGAAGAUCAUCACUAGGGAGAAGUCUCGGCGCAUCGCCAAGUUUGCCUUCGACUACGCCACCAAGAAGGGUCGCAGCAAGGUCACGGCGGUCCACAAGGCCAACAUCAUGAAGCUUGCAGAUGGCCUGUUCCUACAGUGCUGUGCCGAGGUGGCAGAGCUGUAUCCCAAGAUCAAAUAUGAGAACAUUAUCAUAGACAACUGUUGCAUGCAGCUGGUCCAGAACCCAUACCAGUUUGACGUGCUGGUGAUGCCCAACCUUUAUGGCAACAUCAUUGACAACCUGGCCGCUGGGCUGGUCGGCGGGGCAGGAGUGGUGCCAGGAGAGAGCUACAGCGCCGAGUACGCCGUGUUUGAGACCGGAGCGCGGCACCCCUUUGCCCAGGCUGUAGGCAGGAACAUCGCCAACCCCACGGCCAUGCUGCUCAGCGCUGCCAACAUGCUCCAUCACCUCAACCUGGAAUACCACUCCAAUAUGGUGUCAGAUGCUGUCAGGAAGGUCAUCAAACAGGGGAAGGUGCGCACAGGAGACCUGGGGGGCUAUGCCACAAGCGACGAGUUCACAAGAGCUGUCAUCGCCAACCUAGCCAUCUGAGCUAUCCUCUUGAACGCACACUUUCAUUAUUUUACUCCUUUCAAACUAGUCUCUCUGCAUUGACCACUCAAACAGCUGCGCAACAGAUUAAAUCCUCCCGACCCAUGCUCAACAACAUGCUAACACCCAUAGACUCAAACGCAUACAAACCCAGAGGAGUAUACAUGAAAUAUGUAAAAUACGCACAAUGAAAUUGAGGACCGGUUCCAUAAAUGAGAAGCCAAUAUGGGGACGACACCUUCAGUCUUGUGAACGGUACCAAAAUAAAUGUUUUCCCGUUCAACAAUAGUUGUAUAGAACUUGUAAGUCACAUUCCACAUUCUCUACCAGAGUGGUGUUCUUCAAUGAAUGGGCCUUGUUUAGAUAUUCAAACAAGAUACAUGUACUAUAUCAGUAUAGUAUUUUAUUUAUUCACUACAAGUGUUAUAUGCAUUAUUGACUUGUUCAUUCAUAAUUAGUAAUAAACAUAUUCCUAUAUCUGA